rnacentral:rRNA from 1 species
ACUCCUACGGGAGGCAGCAGUGGGGAAUUUUGCGCAAUGGGGGAAACCCUGACGCAGCAACGCCGCGUGAGUGAUGAAGGCCUUCGGGUCGUAAAGCUCUGUCAGAGGGAAAGAAAUGCAGUAAUGCUAAUACCAUGACUGCUUGACGGUACCCUCAAAGGAAGCACCGGCUAACUUCGUGCCAGCAGCCGCGGUAAUACGGAGGGUGCAAGCGUUGUUCGGAAUUAUUGGGCGUAAAGCGCGUGUAGGCGGUUUGUUAAGUCUGAUGUGAAAGCCCCGGGCUCAACCUGGGAAGUGCAUUGGAAACUGGCAGACUUGAAUACGGGAGAGGGUAGUGGAAUUCCUAGUGUAGGAGUGAAAUCCGUAGAUAUUAGGAGGAACACCGGUGGCGAAGGCGGCUACCUGGACCGAUAUUGACGCUGAGACGCGAAAGCGUGGGGAGCAAACAGGAUUAGAUACCCUGGUAGUCCACGCCGUAAACGAUGAGAACUAGGGGUCGCGGGUA